rnacentral:tRNA from 1 species
UGUCCAAUGCGGGGAUCGAACCCGGGUCGUAGUGGUCGUAAACCAAACGGUUUAACCAGCCUUCCACCUAAACUAACUUAAC